GACGAACGCUGGCGGCGUGCUUAACACAUGCAAGUCGAACGGUAAGGCUCCAGCUUGCUGGGGUACACGAGUGGCGAACGGGUGAGUAACACGUGGGUGACCUGCCCUGCACUUUGGGAUAAGCCCGGGAAACUGGGUCUAAUACCGGAUAGGACCAUGGUGUGGAUACUGUGGUGGAAAGUUUUUUCGGUGUGGGAUAGGCCCGCGGCCUAUCAGCUUGUUGGUGGGGUAUUGGCCUAACAAGGGGGCGUCGGGUAGCCGGCCUGUGAGGGUGGACGGCCACAUUGGGACUGAGACACCGCCCAGACUCCUACGGGAGGCAGCAGUGGGGAAUAUUGCACCAUGGGCGGAAGCCUGAUGCAGCCACGCCGCGUGGGGGAUGACGGCCUUCGGGUUGUAAACCCCUUUCACCAUCGACGAAGGGGUUCCGGCGGUAGAUGGAGAAGAAGCACCGGCUAACUACGUG
rnacentral:rRNA from 1 species